rnacentral:lncRNA from 1 species
GGACAUCAUAUACCAAGGUGACCAGGAGAGAGAGAAAGAAAUUAAAGUGAAUGGGUGAUUUAAUGUGUGCUGCUAUCCGUCAGAGAAAGUUCCUCUCCACUUUAAUCGGUUCCGUACACAGAUGAAAGCAGGCACCGUGACAUGGAAGGAGAGGCAGCUUGAGACAAAGGAGAUCCUGGUGGAAACUGUCCAUGGGGCAAGGCUUUGAACAGCUAUCUGCAUCUGGCCUGCUCUCUAACCGCUCCUCUCCCCUGCCCUCGAAGACAUUUGCCCUCUUGUCCUUGCCUGCCGGACUGGAUCUUCCCUGCUGCAUAAGCACUGCUGAGUGACUGUCCUUCUUGGUAAACGGGAACAGGACUUACAUCCUGUGCCUCUCCCUCCCACUCAGUGUACCUGUCUUGUGGUACUCUAAGUCCCGG